rnacentral:rRNA from 1 species
AGCUUGCUUUUUUGCUGACGAGCGGCGGACGGGUGAGUAAUGCUUGGGAAUAUGCCUUAUGGUGGGGGACAACAGUUGGAAACGACUGCUAAUACCGCAUGAUGUCUNUGGACCAAAGUGGGGGACCUUCGGGCCUCACGCCAUAAGAUUAGCCCAAGUGGGAUUAGCUAGUUGGUGAGGUAAUGGCUCACCAAGGCGACGAUCCCUAGCUGGUUUGAGAGGAUGAUCAGCCACACUGGGACUGAGACACGGCCCAGACUCCUACGGGAGGCAGCAGUGGGGAAUAUUGCACAAUGGGCGCAAGCCUGAUGCAGCCAUGCCGCGUGUGUGAAGAAGGCCUUCGCAUUGUCAAGCACUUUCAGUAAGGAGGAAAGGUUAAGUGUUAAUAGCACUUAGCUGUG